UACAGGGGGGGGCAAGCGUUUGUUCGGAAUUACUGGGCGUAAAGGGCCAGUAGGCGGCCAACUAAGUCCGACGUGAAAUCCCCAGGCUUAACCUGGGAACUGCGUCGGAUACUGGAUGGCUUGAAUUCGGGAGAGGGAUGCAGAAUUCCAGGUGUAGCGGUGAAAUGCGUAGAUAUCUGGAGGAACACCGGUGGCGAAAGGCGGGUCACUGGAUCUUUUCUGACGCUGAGACGCGAAAGCGUGGGGAGCAAACAGG
rnacentral:rRNA from 1 species